UGGGGAAUUUUGGACAAUGGGCGAAAGCCUGGUCCAGCAAUGCCGCGUGUGUGAAGAAGGCCUUCGGGUUGUAAAGCACUUUUGUCCGGAAAGAAAUCCUUGGCUCUAAUACAGUCGGGGGAUGACGGUACCGGAAGAAUAAGCACCGGCUAACUACGUGCCAGCAGCCGCGGUAAUACGUAGGGUGCAAGCGUUAAUCGGAAUUACUGGGCGUAAAGCGUGCGCAGGCGGUUUGCUAAGACCGAUGUGAAAUCCCCGGGCUCAACCUGGGAACUGCAUUGGUGACUGGCAGGCUAGAGUAUGGCAGAGGGGGGUAGAAUUCCACGUGUAGCAGUGAAAUGCGUAGAGAUGUGGAGGAAUACCGAUGGCGAAGGCAGCCCCCUGGGCCAAUACUGACGCUCAUGCACGAAAGCGUGGGGAGCAAACAGGAUUAGAUACCCUGGUAGUCCACGCCCUAAACGAUGUCAACUAGUUGUUGGGGAUUCAUUUCCUUAGUAACGUAGCUAACGCGUGAAGUUGACCGCCUGGGGAGUACGGUCGCAAGAUUAAAACUCAAAUGAAUUGACGGGGUCAUAGCUGUUUCCU
rnacentral:rRNA from 1 species